GGAGGAGUGGCAGAGUGGUCGUUUGCGGCGGUUUUGAAAACCGUUGAUGCUUCGGCAUCCGGGGGUUCGAAUCCCUCCUCCUCCGCCA
rnacentral:tRNA from 1 species